UACGUAGGGUGCAAGCGUUGUCCGGAAUUAUUGGGCGUAAAGAGCUCGUAGGCGGUUUGUCGCGUCGACUGUGAAAACCCACGGCUCAACCGUGUGCCUGCAGUCGAUACGGGCAGACUAGAAUUCGGUAGGGGAGACUGGAAUUCCUGGUGUAGCGGUGGAAUGCGCAGAUAUCAGGAGGAACACCAAUGGCGAAGGCAGAUCUCUGGGCCGUAACUGACGCU
rnacentral:rRNA from 1 species